UGGGGAAUAUUGGACAAUGGGCGAAAGCCUGAUCCAGCCAUGCCGCGUGUGUGAAGAAGGUCUUCGGAUUGUAAAGCACUUUAAGUUGGGAGGAAGGGCAGUAAAUUAAUACUUUGCUGUUUUGACGUUACCGACAGAAUAAGCACCGGCUAACUCUGUGCCAGCAGCCGCGGUAAUACAGAGGGUGCAAGCGUUAAUCGGAAUUACUGGGCGUAAAGCGCUCGUAGGUGGUUCGUUAAGUUGGAUGUGAAAGCCCCGGGCUCAACCUGGGAACUGCAUUCAAAACUGACGAGCUAGAGUAUGGUAGAGGGUGGUGGAAUUUCCUGUGUAGCGGUGAAAUGCGUAGAUAUAGGAAGGAACACCAGUGGCGAAGGCGACCACCUGGACUGAUACUGACACUGAGGUGCGAAAGCGUGGGGAGCAAACA
rnacentral:rRNA from 1 species